rnacentral:rRNA from 1 species
CCAGACUCCUACGGGAGGCAGCAGUGGGGAAUAUUGGACAAUGGACCGAGAGUCUGAUCCAGCAAUUCUGUGUGCACGAUGAAGUUUUUCGGAAUGUAAAGUGCUUUCAGUUGGGAAGAAAAAAAUGACGGUACCAACAGAAGAAGUGACGGCUAAAUACGUGCCAGCAGCCGCGGUAAUACGUAUGUCACGAGCGUUAUCCGGAUUUAUUGGGCGUAAAGCGCGUCUAGGUGGUUAUGUAAGUCUGAUGUGAAAAUGCAGGGCUCAACUCUGUAUUGCGUUGGAAACUGUAUAACUAGAGUACUGGAGAGGUAAGCGGAACUACAAGUGUAGAGGUGAAAUUCGUAGAUAUUUGUAGGAAUGCCGAUGGGGAAGCCAGCUUACUGGACAGAUACUGACGCUGAAGCGCGAAAGCGUGGGUAGCAAACAGGAUUAGAUACCCUGGUAGUCCACGCCGUAAACGAUGAUUACUAGGUGUUGGGGGUCGAACCUCAGCGCCCAAGCAAACGCGAUAAGUAAUCCGCCUGGGGAGUACGUACGCAAGUAUGAAACUCAAAGGAAUUGACGGGGGCCCGCACAAG